CCUCAAAAUUCAAUUUGGUUUGUAUAUUACAGCAUUUCUAAACGCCUAUAUUCAAGAGAGAGUGAAAUACUAAUUCUAAAGAUUUUAAAGAUACUUUUAAAGAUUUUAAAGAUAAUACUUUAAAAUGGUUGUUUUAAUAAAGGUCACCUAUUGUGGCGCGUGAGGCUACAAACCAAAAUAUGUGAAGCUGAAAAGUGAACUAGAGAAAAAAUUUUCUGGGAAACUUCAGUUUGAAUAUUUUGCAACACCAAAUAGAACUGGUUAUUUUGAAGUGGAAGUUAAUGGUGUUUUAAUACAUUCAAAAAAGAAUGGCGAUGGAUAUGUUGAUACUGCAGCAAAGAUGUCUAAGAUUGAAAAUUCUAUUCAAAGUGCUCUUCAGUGAUCACUUAUAGAAGUUAACAUACAUCAUAUGAAGAAUAUUUCAUGCAGCACCCGUUACAUGUCGUAUGAAAACAAAUGGAUUAAAAGUACUCCGCAUCGGAUAUGAGUCAUUUGUUUGAUAAAAUUGACUAGACGUUUGUAUGCAUGAGAUUUUCAAAUAAUGUUGUGUUUUUAAA